rnacentral:rRNA from 1 species
AGCGGAGGAAAAGAAACCAACAGGGAUUGCCCCAGUAGCGGCGAGUGAAGCGGCAAGAGCUCAGAUUUGAAAUCGUGUUUCGGCACGAGUUGUAGAGUGUAGGCGGGAGUCUCUGUGGAGCGCGGUGUCCAAGUCCCUUGGAACAGGGUGCCUGAGAGGGUGAGAGCCCCGUAGGGUGCUGCGCGAAGCUUUUGAGGCCCUGCUGACGAGUCGAGUUGUUUGGGAAUGCAGCUCCAAGCGGGUGGUAAAUUCCAUCUAAGGCUAAAUAUUGGCGAGAGACCGAUAGCGAACAAGUACUGUGAAGGAAAGAUGAAAAGCACUUUGAAAAGAGAGUGAAACAGCACGUGAAAUUGUUGAAAGGGAAGGGUAUUGGGCUCGACAUGGGGGGUGCGCACCGCUGUCUCUUGUAGGCGGCGCUCUGGGCGCCCUCUGGGCCAGCAUCGGUUCCUGCUGCGGGAGAAGGGGCUCCGGAAAGUGGCUCUUCGGAGUGUUAUAGCCGGGGCCAGAUGCCGCGUGUGGGGACCGAGGACUGCGGCUCUUCUC